rnacentral:rRNA from 1 species
GAUGAACGCUGGCGGCGUGCCUAAUACAUGCAAGUCGAGCGAAUGGAUUGAGAGCUUGCUCUCAAGAAGUUAGCGGCGGACGGGUGAGUAACACGUGGGUAACCUGCCCAUAAGACUGGGAUAACUCCGGGAAACCGGGGCUAAUACCGGAUAACAUUUUGAACYGCAUGGUUCGAAAUUGAAAGGCGGCUUCGGCUGUCACUUAUGGAUGGACCCGCGUCGCAUUAGCUAGUUGGUGAGGUAACGGCUCACCAAGGCAACGAUGCGUAGCCGACCUGAGAGGGUGAUCGGCCACACUGGGACUGAGACACGGCCCAGACUCCUACGGGAGGCAGCAGUAGGGAAUCUUCCGCAAUGGACGAAAGUCUGACGGAGCAACGCCGCGUGAGUGAUGAAGGCUUUCGGGUCGUAAAACUCUGUUGUUAGGGAAGAACAAGUGCUAGUUGAAUAAGCUGGCACC